UACAGAGGGUGCAAGCGUUGUUCGGAAUCAUUGGGCGUAAAGGGCGUGUAGGCGGUCUGUUAAGUCAUGUGUGAAAUCCCUCGGCUCAACCGGGGAACGACGCAUGAAACUGACAAGCUAGGACGAACAAGGGAGGGGGAUGACGUCCGGUGUGACGGAUGAACGCAGAUAUCAGGAGGAACACCGGUGGCGAAGGCGGGUCUCUGGGCCGAUACUGACGCUGAGGAGCGAAAGCCAGGGGAGCGAACGGG
rnacentral:rRNA from 1 species